CUGUCUUGUCGGCACUCGGUUUUUAUUUAAAUUAAUCAAACCUUAUCUUAUGUGUCAAUGCACAUAUCACCAAGCUCUGUCAGGCUGCAACUUGUGAUGAAAGAUUUAAAAUAGAUUUUAUUAGAGAUGAUGAUUAUUUAUCAUACGGGGCACAUGUCACAACAGUGACCAUCCGUAUCACUUACACACAUAUUCUCUUCCAGAUUAAUAUAUAUCAUAAAGUUUUGUCUUUUUGUUAAAAGUAACCGACUUUCUGUUCCUAUAUAAAGAGAAAUGUUACUCUUAUGUUUUAAUUAAUAAAAACAGCAGUUUAUCUCUCUCACUCACUCUCUCCCUCU
rnacentral:lncRNA from 1 species